rnacentral:rRNA from 1 species
UACGGGGGGGGCAAGCGUUGUUCGGAAUUACUGGGCGUAAAGGGCGCGUAGGCGGUUGGAUAAGUCAGCUGUGAAAACCACGGGCUUAACUCGUGGCCUGCAGUUGAGACUGUCUGGCUUGAGUGUGGGAGAGGAGAGUGGAAUUCCUGGUGUAGCGGUGAAAUGCGCAGAUAUCAGGAGGAACACCAAUUGCGAAGGCAGCUCGCUGGGACGUGACUGACGCUGAGACGCGAAAGCGUGGGGAGCAAACAGG